rnacentral:misc_RNA from 1 species
GGGCAUCGAUGAAGAACGCAGCGAAAUGCGAUAAGUAGUGUGAAUUGCAGAAUUCAGUGAAUCAUCGAAUCUUUGAACGCACAUUGCGCCCUUUGGUAUUCCAAAGGGCAUGCCUGUUCGAGCGUCAUUUGUACCCUCAAGCUUUGCUUGGUGUUGGGCGUCUUGUCUCUAGCUUUGCUGGAGACUCGCCUUAAAGUAAUUGGCAGCCGGCCUACUGGUUUCGGAGCGCAGCACAAGUCGCACUCUCUAUCAGCAAAGGUCUAGCAUCCAUUAAGCCUUUUUUUCAACUUUUGACCUCGGAUCAGGUAGGGAUACCCGCUGAACUUAAGCAUAUCAAUAAGCGGAGGAU